AAUCAACGCUGGCGGCGUGCCUCAGACAUGCAAGUCGAACGCGAAAUUUCCCUUCGGGGAGAAAGUAGAGUGGCGCACGGGUGAGUAACACGUAGGUAAUUUGCCUUUGGGUGGGGAAUAACUCAGGGAAACUUGAGCUAAUACCGCAUAAUGCAGCGGCUCGACAUCGAGACAGUUGUUAAAGCGGGGAUUGGAGCAAUCCGACCUCGCGCCUAAAGAGAAGCCUGCGGCAGAUUAGCUAGUUGGUAAGGUAAUGGCUUACCAAGGCUACGAUCUGUAACCGGCCUGAGAGGGCGGUCGGUCACACUGACACUGACAUACGGGUCAGACUCCUACGGGAGGCAGCAGU
rnacentral:rRNA from 1 species